GAAAUGUAAGGCUUUUGAAAAAAGUAAAACGAAUAUUAAAAGGAAAUAAAACUGCAUUCGAUGGAGGAAUGCAUCUUCUGUAAACUUUACAGCAAAACGAGCUGGCCAUGCGUACUUGAUUCUGAAUGCUAACUACUAAAUGCAGAAGAGACGAAAGAAAAGAAGACGAUUAUGGAAGUCAACCUAGCGUUUUGUACAACACAAAGACACUUCUGGUUUACUCUUUGCUUUGUGAAUGCAACGGACUGACAGUUGGUCUUUGCUUUAACGGUUUUGACUGGCUCACUUCCGAGGUUUUGGGUGUAAAAGGUAAGCCUGCACCAGCAUUCAAAAAUCUUUCACAGCUCGAGAGUAUCGCAUUCAAAUACUGUAUAUAGUGUGGUAAGGGCUUCAUUUCUUUGGCUGUUGGGCUUCUUUGUUUUUGCUCGUUGCUGCCUCCGCUUUGCGAGCAUCUGAUGAGUGAAAGUGUUCUUGCGAGGUGCAGCAAGCUGCUCCAUUUCCUCAUCAAACAGGAAGUCCAGCUCCUCCUGGUCGGCUUCAGGCUGAGGCUUUGGGGUGGACUGAACCAA
rnacentral:lncRNA from 1 species